UACAGGGGGGGCAAGCGUUGUUCGGAAUUACUGGGCGUAAAGGGUUCGUAGGUGGCCACCUAAGUCAGACGUGAAAUCCCUCAGCUUAACUGGGGAACUGCGUCUGAUACUGGGUGGCUUGAGUGCAGGAGAGGAAUGCGGAAUUCCAGGUGUAGCGGUGAAAUGCGUAGAUAUCUGGAGGAACACCGGUGGCGAAGGCGGCAUUCUGGACUGUAACUGACACUGAGGAACGAAAGCCAGGGGAGCAAACGGG
rnacentral:rRNA from 1 species